CAAUAAACAGGGUUCUUCUAUGGUUUCUUUUUCAGUUCCUGCCUGAGCGCUCCUAUGUUGAGGCCUUCGACAAUGGAGCUGACCUGGAAGUGUCUCAGUUGCUUUUGAUCAGGGUGGCCACUCACAGCAACAGAAAACAAAUCAGACUACAAGUCUAUUCCUUUUUUUCCAUUCUCCCCCAGAGAGGCAAGAGUUCAAAGGAGGUCUGUGUGCAAAAUCCCCUGGUUCCCCAGUUGCAGAAAAUCCUCAGUCUCCUAAGGCUAGAGGUCUCUUUUCAAGAAGAUUUAUUAUUCAGUGCAUCAACAUUUACCAUGGAGGGAACUCUGGACUUAACAGAAUUUCCCUAGUGCUCCUGUCAAUGGGGCCAAACAGCCUGGCCUCCAUUUGCCCUCCCAAUAAAGUAAAAAUGUCCCCACUGAGAUGAUCUUUG
rnacentral:lncRNA from 1 species